GAUGAACGCUGGCGGUAUGCUUAACACAUGCAAGUCGAACGGACUCUUCGGAGUUAGUGGCGGACGGGUGAGUAACGCGUGAGAAUCUGGCUUUGGGUUCGGGUCAACCACUGGAAACGGUGGCUAAUACCGGAUGUGCCGAGAGGUAAUAGAGAAAUUGCCUGAAGAUGAGCUCGCGUCUGAUUAGCUAGUUGGUGAGGUAAAGGCUCACCAAUGCAGCUAUCAGUAGCUGGUCUGAGAGGAUGACCAGCCACACUGGGACUGAGACACGGCCCAGACCUCUGCGGGAGGCAGGAGUGGGGAAUUGUACGAAAUGGGCGAGCGCCUGACAGAGCAAUACCGCGUGAGGGAAGAAGGCUCUUGGGGUGUAAACCUCUUUUCUUAGGGAAGAACAAAAUGACGGUACCUAAGGAAUCAGCACCGGCUAACUACGUG
rnacentral:rRNA from 1 species